AAUUGAUUAGUGAAUUGUCCAUGUUCCACUGUUCGUUUGUUCCUUGAUUUUGUUCAGGCACAUGCUCUGAUUACUGUGCACAACGCAUUCUGGUGUUAAUGCACCAGAGUUGGGAAUUCCUGGCCCUAGCAACGAGCUAAGCUUGUCUUUAGUUCAUGCAGCAUAACUUCCUUUUUUUGUCUUCCAUUAGAAAGUUUUGUGACAUUGUGAUACAGCAAAUCUAUUGUCGGAGAAAUAAAAACUUUAAACGUGCUACAGGGUAAAUUGCUGAGACAAAAAUGCUAUCUUUAAGAAGGAUUCCUCAUUUUUGUAGGAAAUUAGUGGCUGAAGUAAAAGGAAUUAAAACUCUUGCAAUUUAAAUCUUUAUAGCAUAUGAUCAAAGGUCAUUUUCCAACUUUUUUUUUUCCCCUCUUUUUUCCCAAAUAUGGAAAGUAAAU
rnacentral:misc_RNA from 1 species